rnacentral:rRNA from 1 species
CCCUUAGAUGUUCUGGGCCGCACGCGUGCUACACUGAGUGGAUCAGCGGGUCAGGUUGCGCGAAAGUGUUUCCUAAUCUUGAAAUCCGCUCGUGAUGGGGAUUGACGGUUGCAAUUUUCCGUCAUGAACGAGGAAUACCUUGUAAGCGCGGGUCAUCAUCCCGCGCUGAAUACGUCCCUGCCCUUUGUACACACCGCCCGUCGCUCCUACCGAUUGAGUGGUCCGGUGAGGCUUUGGGAUCUGAGCGGAAAGAGCGUUUCGCUGUUUCUGCUCGGAAAACUCAGUCGAACCUUAUCAUUUAGAGGAUGGAGAAGUCGUAACA